UGUUUUCAUUCUAUGUAACCGCGGAUGUUUUGUAGAAAUGAUUAAGAACUCUUUUUUUUUUAUCAAAGUAUAUCUAGUAAUGGGUUUCAUGUUAUCUAACAAAUGAAACUUUUAUUUAUGAAAAAUAACAGAAUUAUUAGUGAUAACAUGGAGAUGGAUUCCUUAACUCAAGCCCCACCAGGUGGUUCAGUGGGAAAUCUGUGGAAUUGUAGCUCUAAAAAUUGGAUUUUGAUACCCGAGGUGGAAACACAUAGCUAGCCUAUAGAGGUUAUGUGGUUUUUGAAGAAUGACUGUUGAUAAGAAAUUUUGUAACAAAGUAAUAUCUAAUGUUGACUGAGUACCAAGUAACAAAUUAAUAACGAAUGUUGACUGAGUACCAAGUAAUAAAUUAAUAAUUAAUGUUGACUGAGUACCAAGUAACAAAUUAAUAAUUAAUGUUGACUGAGUACCAAGUAACAAAUUAAUAACUAAUGUUGACUGACUGCCAAGUAACAAAUUAAUAACUAAUGUUGACUGAGUACCAAGUAACAAAUUAAUAACUAAUGUUGACUGACUGCCAAGUAACAAAUUAAUAACUAAUGUUGACUGACUGCCAAGUAACAAAUUAACAAUGAAUUUUAACAGAGUACCAAUGUAUGAAAGAAACAAAUUUAUGAUCAGUUUAUCAUGAGAAAAUUAAUAGAAGUCCAGAUAAAUAUUACUUGUUUAUUCAAAUGGAAUAGUCUCUUCUAAUACUCCUCCGAAAAAGGAUUUGCCUUACAAUGCUUGAAAAAUACCUUUAUUUUUAGUUAAUGAGACCUCUGCACAUUAUUGCUGUCACUCAUAGGUGUUAUGUGUUAAUUUUAUAUCUUGUCUGCUGUCCACACAUGGGUGUUAUGUGUUAAUUUUAUAUCUUGUCUGCUGUCCACACAUGGGUGUUAUGUGUUGAUGUUAUAUCUUGUCUGCUGUCCACACAUGGGUGUUAUGUGUUGAUGUUAUAUCUUUUUUGCUGUCCACACAUCGGUGUUAUGUGUUAAUUUUAUAUCUUGUCUGCUGUCCACGUCUUUUCUAGUUAACUGUUUAAGGUCAACAUAUCUGUAAGAUGUUUAGAAGUUUGGCCUAUAGUUGAGAUAUAAACUUAUGUUACUUUU